rnacentral:rRNA from 1 species
UACGGGGGGGGCAAGCGUUGUUCGGAAUUACUGGGCGUAAAGGGCUCGUAGGUGGCCAACUAAGUCAUACGUGAAAUCCCUCGGCUUAACCGGGGAACUGCGUCUGAUACUGGAUGGCUUGAGGUUGGGAGAGGGAUGUGGAAUUCCUGGUGUAGCGGUGAAAUGCGCAGAUAUCAGGAGGAACACCAAUGGCGAAGGCAGCUCGCUGGGACGUGACUGACGCUGAGACGCGAAAGCGUGGGGAGCAAACAGG